rnacentral:rRNA from 1 species
GACGAACGCUGGCGGCGUGCUUAACACAUGCAAGUCGAACGGUAAGGCUCCAGCUUGCUGGGGUACACGAGUGGCGAACGGGUGAGUAACACGUGGGUGACCUGCCCUGCACUUCGGGAUAAGCCUGGGAAACUGGGUCUAAUACCGGAUAGGACCGCACCGUGAGGGUGUGGUGGAAAGUUUUUUCGGUGUGGGAUGGGCCCGCGGCCUAUCAGCUUGUUGGUGGGGUAAUGGCCUACCAAGGCGGCGACGGGUAGCCGGCCUGAGAGGGUGGACGGCCACAUUGGGACUGAGACACGGCCCAGACUCCUACGGGAGGCAGCAGUGGGGAAUAUUGCACAAUGGGCGGAAGCCUGAUGCAGCGACGCCGCGUGGGGGAUGACGGCCUUCGGGUUGUAAACUCCUUUCACCAUCGACGAAGGGUUUCUGACGGUAGAUGGAGAAGAAGCACCGGCUAACUACGUGCCAGCAGCCGCGGUAAUACGUAGGGUGCGAGCGUUGUCCGGAAUUACUGGGCGUAAAGAGCUCGUAGGUGGUUUGUCGCGUCGUCUGUGAAAUUCCGGGGCUUAACUCCGGGCGUGCAGGCGAUACGGGCAUAACUUGAGUACUGUAGGGGAGACUGGAAUUCCUGGUGUAGCGGUGAAAUGCGCAGAUAUCAGGAGGAACACCGGUGGCGAAGGCGGGUCUCUGGGCAGUAACUGACGCUGAGGAGCGAAAGCAUGGGAGCGAACAGGAUUAGAUACCCUGGUAGUCCAUGCCGUAAACGGUGGGCGCUAGGUGUGGGUUUCCUUCCACGGGAUCCGUGCCGUAGCUAACGCAUUAAGCGCCCCGCCUGGGGAGUACGGCCGCAAGGCUAAAACUCAAAGGAAUUGACGGGGGCCCGCACAAGCGGCGGAGCAUGUGGAUUAAUUCGAUGCAACGCGAAGAACCUUACCUGGGCUUGACAUAUACAGGAUCGCGCCAGAGAUGGUGUUUCCCUUGUGGCUUGUAUACAGGUGGUGCAUGGUUGUCGUCAGCUCGUGUCGUGAGAUGUUGGGUUAAGUCCCGCAACGAGCGCAACCCUUGUCUUAUGUUGCCAGCACGUUGUGGUGGGGACUCGUAAGAAACUGCCGGGGUUAACUCGGAGGAAGGUGGGGAUGACGUCAAAUCAUCAUGCCCCUUAUGUCCAGGGCUUCACACAUGCUACAAUGGUCGGUACAGUGGGUUGCCAGUCCGUGAGGGCGAGCUAAUCCCGCAAAGCCGGUCUCAGUUCGGAUCGGGGUCUGCAACUCGACCCCGUGAAGUCGGAGUCGCUAGUAAUCGCAGAUCAGCAACGCUGCGGUGAAUACGUUCCCGGGCCU